AUGAAAGUACAUGCACUAAAAGAAGUAGUGGAAAAUAAUCAGCAAAACAGAUGUCAUUAGAGGCGAUGCUUUUUAUAUUUAUACAUGUAUCUAGACUAGUAGUGAAUUUGAAAAGUGCUGUAUUGAUUCAUGUGCAAAUAAGGAGCAGCAGCCAAUGAAACAUUGCAAAUGUGUGAUCAGAGAGGUCAUUUUUCCACAAAAACAAGCUAAUACAGUCAAUGGGCCUGAUGAAGUUGAGUUUUUUUGGACUUUUGGGAAAAAUGGAACAUAUAUAAGUGAAGAAAAGUAAAGAAAAGGGGAAAAUAUUACAGACACAGUACAUGGACACCAGCAUGAGCAAGUUAAGACAAGAAUCUGCCAUGGAAAGAAACUGUUAAAAGAAGAAAAAAAAAUGAAGA